CGCGCCCUUCGGGGCGAGUGGCGGACGGGUGAGUAACACGUGGGAACGUGCCCUUUGGUUCGGAAUAACUCAGGGAAACUUGAGCUAAUACCGGAUGAGCCCUACGGGGGAAAGACUUAUCGCCAAAGGAGCGGCCCGCGUCUGAUUAGCUAGUUGGUGAGGUAAAGGCUCACCAAGGCUACGAUCAGUAGCUGGUCUGAGAGGAUGAUCAGCCACACUGGGACUGAGACACGGCCCAGACUCCUACGGGAGGCAGCAGUGGGGAAUCUUGCGCAAUGGGCGAAAGCCUGACGCAGCCAUGCCGCGUGGAUGAUGAAGGUCUUAGGAUUGUAAAAUCCUUUCACCGGGGACGAUAAUGACGGUACCCGGAGAAGAAGCCCCGGCUAACUUCGUGCCAGCAGCCGCGGUAAUACGAAGGGGGCUAGCGUUGCUCGGAAUUACUGGGCGUAAAGGGCGCGUAGGCGGACAGUUUAGUCGGGGGUGAAAGCCCGGGGCUCGACCUCGGAAUUGCCUUCGAUACUGGCUGUCUUGAGUACGGGAGAGGUGUGUGGAACUCCGAGUGUAGAGGUGAAAUUCGUAGAUAUUCGGAAGA
rnacentral:rRNA from 1 species